rnacentral:lncRNA from 1 species
AUCGAUUUUAAACUUUGGAAUUACCUAUUCUAAUUUCUUCAACUGGGUUACAAGCAAUUCAAUAAAUUCCCUGUAAAUCAAUAAAUUAAGUUGGUUCAAUAACAGGAAAUAAUGACUCCAAACAUAUUUUAUACAUUACUUUUUCAACUAUAUUGUAGCCAAAUGGUGACUAUCUUAAAAAUGGUGACCUUAUCAGACUCUUAAGUAUCACAUGCAGUUAUACAAGUAUCAUUAUGGAUUCAGUGCUGGCAAUGUACAAGAUUAACCUUGUCUAACGAAGAGAAGAGAACACAUUAAUUGGAAUGACAUUCACUAUCACGGGUGGCCAAAACAACAAACUGAAAACCACGCUCCCAAUAAGCAACACCUCCAAUUAUCUGAUAGGCUGCCACCGCUACAUUGCCCCCAACAUUACGAAAUGUACAUGCGCAUGAGGUGUUGAAAGCAAUUUCUAAUAAUUGGAGGUGUGGCUUAAAUGUAUUAUUUGAUUUCAGACAAAUGUAAUAGAAUAGGUUGAGUAAAAGCACGUCUCACUUUUUACAGUGUAGGGCAAGUGCCUCUCCACUCUUCUCGCUCUCCACUCCCCUCCAGCACCAGCUCCAGAUGUUAAUAAUGACUUGAGGGUGAGGAUGAUGUCAGUGGUAUGGACCUGCCCAGUGCCAAGGCAGACAGAGGUGUCUAAUUGAUUCCAGGGUGUGGACACAGAGAUGUCUGUAGUGCGUCUGGUGCUGCCUGCUGUUUUAAUGGUACAGAUGAUGGAGGCCGCUGGUCUCUGUCAGGAGCACUAGCACUGAUCUCUGUGAUCCAUGGUGUCAUGUAGAGUUAACACUGGCAUGGCAUUGGCAGACACAAGGAGGGACAGCGAUGGGUAUGAACGGGGGGCUACGAUCAGUCUACAGUGACUUCACUAGUGACGGUGCCCCUGUCCACUUCAAUCUGAUCGUCUCUAACCUGCUUUGCCUCCACAGCUCUUACCCCUCCUCUUCCCCCCUGCCUCUCCUCCCCCUUUUUUCUCUCUUCUCUGUGUGGAGGUGUCGGCCUAGUAGACCAGUACCGUCUGGCCGUGAGCAGGGAGAUGGACAAACCUGUGACAGCCCCCCUCCAGCCCCCCCGAGAACCACCCACCCAUCACCCGUGGCACCAGGACCCACCGCAGUGGUGUCCCCCUGGAUCAACUCACACCCAGAGGCCUGACAUGUGGUAGAGUCUCGGUGGACUGGAGAAGGCUAACGCUGACAUGAUGAGGCCAGUGUUUUGGCUGCUCAGCGGCUCCUGGUAAUUGAGGGCUGUGACAAUCAUCACUCCCCAAUCAGUCACCAAUCAGCCACAAUCAGAAGACACCUGUUCCUUUUCCCUCAACCAAUCACAUCCCCUUUCCCUUGGUUUAAAAACCCAUUCAGUUGUUUUCUCCCCAGAUCAAUCUCUGUGUCUUCUCGCUGUGUCUUCGUCUCUCUGUCUGUAUUGAUCUCUCUUUUGUUUUGCAACUACAUGUCACAUUUGUCUGGUUAUCCUGUGAGUAUUGUUUUGUUGGUUGACUGUUUGUUUGUUUGGUGGGAAAAGGGGGUACCAAGACAAGUCGCCCAUGGGCAUACAUUACCCGUAGGAAUACUUUGUCUAAGUACCCUAGUUAGACCUGGGCGGACCACCCACUGUAUUUUUGGUUAGUUAGCUAGCUGUUAUUGAAGUAGAUUAGUUUAGGGGUGUUUUUGGAUUAUUGUUUCUUUUCUUGGGUCCAGCUCAGCCCCUUUUCUCACACCCCAUUACC